rnacentral:lncRNA from 1 species
AGAAAAAGGAGUUUACACUCCUGGGCAGCUGAAGUGAGUUCUCUCCUAUCAGUCCAUCUGAAUUGCCUGACAUGAUGCUGCUUCCUUGUAGCAGGAAGUGCUGAACAGGCACCGGAUCCAGAAUCAAGGAAUCUCUAAAAUUCUCUAAAAAAUGAGUCAGUUUUUAAGGCACCAGCGACAAGAUCCAGCCCCUUCUAGAGAAAGAGAAGUCUGAGACACUUGGA